rnacentral:misc_RNA from 1 species
GAUGAAGAACGCAGCGAAAUGCGAUAAGUAAUGUGAAUUGCAGAAUUCAGUGAAUCAUCGAAUCUUUGAACGCACAUUGCGCCCGCCAGCACUCUGGCGGGCAUGCCUGUUCGAGAGUCAUUUCAACCAUCAAGCCCCCAGGGGCUUGUGCUGGGGCCCUGCGGCUGCCCGCAGGCCCUGAAAACCAGUGGCGGGCUCGCUAGUCACACCGAGCGCAGUAGCACAUCUCGCUCAGGGCGUGCGGCGGGCUCCUGCCGUGAAACCCCCCACUGUAACCCCAAAGGUUGACCUCGGAUCAGGUAGGAAUACCCGCUGAACUUAAGCAUAUCAAUAAGCGGAGGA